rnacentral:piRNA from 1 species
UAAGCAGCCACGAUGGUCAAUGGUUCC